GUCUGUUUACAUGCAUAACUUUCUCCGACUUUCUAGGACGUGUUUUAUGCCACUUCUUUUUCUGUCUCAUUUUGUCCACCACACUUUUAACGUUGUACAUGAGUGCACAAAGGGCAGACGGUUUAAAGACCAGCGUACCCGAAGAUCCAGUGCCGGAACAUAGUUCACUCCUUGUAUGGUCCCUCUGGUUCCCGUGAUCGAGCUUGCCCACGGACUGGACAUUCCCAAAUCAUUUUUUUAGAUCUUUAAGAUGGAAAUUGUAGCUGCCAUUAUGAUGUGCAGUCAUGUUUUCUAAUGAUCGUAAGUCUUCAACUAUACAAAGUAUAUGCGCUUAUGGCUGAUAUACCAGUUACUAUGGUAAUCUAAUUAGUUACUAUGCUCAUCUAAUUAGUUACUAUGGUCAUCUACGUCACAGCAGCUCAGACGAGGCACCAAGCAGUGUGGGCGGGAAGCGUUUCCACAGACGCGGAAGGAGAUUUUCGCGACAAAGUUCUAAAGCAGGGGUGUCCAAAGUGCGGCCCGGGGGCCAUUUGCGGCCCGCAGGUAAUUUAUUAACGGCCCCACGACACAUUCUAAAAAUACGAUGAAAAAAAACAAAAAAAAAACAUAAAAAGUGGUAUAAAAGAGCAAACAGGUGAAAUGUAACAAGAAAAUGUUGCAUUAUUUACUCUAAUAACACAAAGCUGCCAUGCAGGCUGUUUCUUUCUUUAAAAAAUAAUAAUGAAUCAAAAUCAAUGUCAUUAUGAAUUAUUGACCUAUUCAAGGCUCCAUUUACUUCACAUUAAAUAGUCCACUUUGAGAUAUUUUGGGGGGAAAAUGUUGCCUAUUUUUUGGUUGCCAUUUAAAAAACUUUGUUUUUUAAAGAAGGGCCUAAAACGAACAAA